UUUCAAACCGACUAUUGGGUAAAAAACACUCAACCGAUAAAAAUCAAUCGGUUUUCUAUACAGUAAAAAAAGAUAUACCGAUAUCGCUUUUGUGUUAUAAUAAUAGCAGUACGUGACAUUUUCUGAAAAUGAUAAUGAAUUCAGUUUUAUAAAUAACUGACACAUUUUUGGAAAACUGUAAUACUGGUUUUCUGUUUACUAAUACUAGAACAUUCGUUGUUGCUAUAGUGUUAAGUCACGUAAAACUUUGUAGCAGUUUAGUAUUUGGCGUAAAUGAAUAAGAAUUUAAAGAUUAAAAAUGAGUUUUGAAGAGUUCUUUAAAGAUAUUGAUUGUCUAACUGUGGCUUUGAGAGAGAAAUACCCUAACGACCCUGAUGUGCAGAAAUUGAAUGAAAUAUACUGCAAAAGAUACUAUGAUCUUCUCAUUCAACAUAUUUGGAAUCCAGACGAAUUUCAAAUACUUCAAGAAGAGAACACUAGAUUAAAACAAGAAUUACAGACUUUAAAACAAAGUACUUCUGAAACAAUGACGUCGUCCGUAUCAAAACAAACGAAAUAUGAUAAAAUUAGAAAAAAUAUUCAACAAUCAUAUUCAGAAGAAAGAAGGUUAACUUGCGACUGUGAUUACUCUGGAGAACCAAUGAUUGAUUUAUGUAUUAAAGCUUUGGGAACGUAUGACAAAUUGAUCAGCUCGGAUAAACGGAAUGUAGUUUUAAAUUCUGCGAACAAAGGACAUGUUUUAAAAGAUUUAAAAAAACUAUCAAGAAAGGAAAAGAAAGGAUUUAUGGAUAUACUAAAAAAUCAUGGUUUCGUUUAUUCAUUAUCACAUUGCAAUUUUUUAAUACGUUUAUAUGAUUUUGCAAUGACUCAUAAUAAAAUAUUACAUUGUG
rnacentral:lncRNA from 1 species